rnacentral:rRNA from 1 species
GGCGAAGCAGAGCUUGCUCUUGGAUCAUGGCGAACGGGUGAGUAACACGUGAGCAAUCUGCCCCUGACUCUGGGAUAAGCGCUGGAAACGGCUGCUAAUACCGGAUACGAGCUGCGAAGGCAUCUUCAGCAGCUGGAAAGAAUUUCGGUCAGGGAUGAGCUCGCGGCCUAUCAGCUUGUUGGUGAGGUAAUGGCUCACCAAGGCGUCGACGGGUAGCCGGCCUGAGAGGGUGACCGGCCACACUGGGACUGAGACACGGCCCAGACUCCUACGGGAGGCAGCAGUGGGGAAUAUUGCACAAUGGGCGCAAGCCUGAUGCAGCAACGCCGCGUGAGGGAUGACGGCCUUCGGGUUGUAAACCUCUUUUAGCAAGGAAGAAGCGAAAGUGACGGUACUUGCAGAAAAAGCCCGGCUAACUACGUGCCAGCAGCCGCGGUAAUACGUAGGGUGCAAGCGUUAUCCGGAAUUAUUGGGCGUAAAGAGCUCGUAGGCGGUUUGUCGCGUCUGCUGUGAAACUGGGGCUCAACCCCAGCCUGCAGUGGGUACGGGCAGACUAGAGUGCGGUAGGGGAGAUUGGAAUUCCUGGUGUAGCGGUGGAAUGCGCAGAUAUCAGGAGGAACACCGAUGGCGAAGGCAGAUCUCUGGGCCGUAACUGACGCUGAGGAGCGAAAGGGUGGG